rnacentral:rRNA from 1 species
CCUACGGGUGGCAGCAGUGGGGAAUAUUGGGCAAUGGGCGCAAGCCUGACCCAGCAACGCCGCGUGAAGGAAGAAGGCCCUCGGGUUGUAAACUUCUUUUAGCAAGGACGAAACAAAUGACGGUAGUGGAUGAAUAAGCGACGGCUAACUACGUGCCAGCAGCCGCGGUAAUACGUAGGGGGCAAGCGUUAGCCGGAUUUACUGGGUGUAAAGGGCGUGUAGGCGGGACGGCAAGGCAGAUGUGAAAACCAGGGGCUCAACCCCGGGCCUGCAUUUUAAACGGUCGUUCUUGAGUGUUGGGGAGGCAGGCGGCAUUCCGUGUGUAGCGGUGCACUGCGUAGAUAUCCGGCG